AGAUUAAACUGAAGAGUUUGAUCCUGGCUCAGAUUGAACGCUGGCGGCAUGCCUUACACAUGCAAGUCGAACGGCAGCACGGAGCUUGCUCUGGUGGCGA
rnacentral:rRNA from 3 species